CAGUCGCCACGGGAAUACGUAGGGUGCAAGCGUUAAUCGGAAUUACUGGGCGUAAAGCGUGCGCAGGCGGUGUUGUAAGACUGAUGUGAAAUCCCCGGGCUCAACCUGGGAACUGCAUUGGUGACUGCAGCGCUGGAGUGCGGCAGAGGGGGAUGGAAUUCCGCGUGUAGCAGUGAAAUGCGUAGAUAUGCGGAGGAACACCGAUGGCGAAGGCAAUCCCCUGGGCCUGCACUGACGCUCAUGCACGAAAGCGUGGGGAGCAAACAGGAUUAGAUACCCCGGUAGUCCCUGUCUCUUAUAC
rnacentral:rRNA from 1 species